ACCAUCAUAGCUCAGUGGCAGAGCAUCUGCCUUGUGUGCAGAAGGUCCCUGGUUCAAUCCCCGAUGGCGGCA